GAGACUUGAUCUCCCAUUUUCUUCAUUCCAUACCCAUUUGGCCGAAAUUUAGAGAGGAAAAAGGAGAGGAAAAUUCUUCAUCUUCUUCCUUGAGUUCAAGAAGCUUCAUAGCCAAUUUCUUCACAAGAUCAUCAUCUAUUCGGGAUUUUGGUGAAAGAAUUGAGUAAAGGAGAGGAUUUAGCUAUUGAUGUUUAAAGGGUUUGAAGGAAAAUCUAGCCUCUCAAGUUUCUUAUCAAGUGGCUAGAAUCCCAUUAAGUGUUGAUGAGAGUUUUGGUCUUCAAGGGUGAACAUGAAUAGGAUGGAAGU